rnacentral:rRNA from 1 species
GACAUAGGUGGCGAACGUUAUCCGGAUUUAUUGGGCGUAAAGGAUGCGUAGAUGGUAGAAUAAGUUAUUGGUCGAAAAUCGAGCUCAACUUGAUGGAGGCUAGUAUACUGUUCUACUGGAGGGCAAGAAGGAGGUUAGCGGAACUUAACACAAGUAGGGGUGAAAUCCAAUGAUCUGUGAGGGACCACCAAAAAAGGCGAAGGCAGCUAACUAUUCUGUUCCUGACAUU